CCGGAUCUCCGGCUUCCGGCAACUGCACGGAACCUAAAGCCGCGGGGGAGCCGCGCAGGCCCGAGCGGCGCCAGACCCCUGGAUAUUUUUCUUCCUCAAAAUUGGAAGAAGAUCCACCGGCUGAAUGGCAGCUGCAGAUGACUUGCAAUUUGAAGAAUUUGGUGAUACAGCCACUUCUCUAGCAGCAAACUCAGAUGCCACCACAAUAAGCAUUGAGGAUCCUGGUGAAACCCCCAAGCACAAGUCAGGACCCCCAAGAAGCUCUAGGAGGGAAGAGGAUGAUGAGUUGCUGGGAAAUGAUGACUCUGACAAAACUGAGUUACUUGCUGGCCAGAAGAAAAGCUCUCCCUUCUGGACAUUUGAGUACUACCAAACAUUCUUUGAUGUGGACACAUACCAGGUCUUUGACAGAAUAAAAGGGUCACUUUUGCCAAUACCUGGAAAAAACUUUGUAAGGUUAUCUAUCCGCAGCAAUCCAGAUCUCUAUGGCCCUUUUUGGAUAUGUGCCACGUUGGUCUUUGCCAUAGCAAUUAGUGGGAAUCUUUCCAACUUCUUAAUCCAUCUGGGAGAGAAGACAUACCAUUACGUGCCUGAGUUCCAAAAAGUAUCCAUAGCAGCUACCAUCAUCUAUGCCUAUGCCUGGCUUGUUCCUCUGGCUCUCUGGGGUUUCCUCAUGUGGAGAAACAGCAAAGUCAUGAACAUUGUUUCCUAUUCAUUUCUGGAGAUUGUGUGCGUCUAUGGCUAUUCACUCUUCAUUUAUAUCCCUACAGCAAUACUGUGGAUCAUCCCCCAGAAAGCUGUUCGUUGGAUUCUAGUCAUGGUUGCCCUGGGCAUCUCAGGAUCUGUCUUGGCUAUGACAUUUUGGCCAGCUGUUCGUGAAGAUAACCGACGUAUUGCGUUGGCCACAAUUGUGACAAUUGUAUUGCUUCAUAUGCUUCUUUCUGUGGGCUGCUUGGCAUACUUUUUUGAUGCACCAGAGAUGGACCAUCUCCCCACAACUAUAGCUACUCCAAACCAAACAGCUGCAGCAGCCAAGUCCAGCUAAGGAGAAAAUACCUAACAGAAGGUUGCCACAGAGAAGCAAGAGAGGAAGUGGAUGAAGGCAGAACCUUGCUCUUUUUUGUUUGGGGCGUGUGGUUCUUCUGGACAUGGCAUCUACUGCAGGAAGGCAGAAUGGCCAACAGCAGCAAGGAAUUCACGUGGUGCCGUAUUGGAGCCUCAUCGUCUGUCUCACAAAUGCAAUUUAAGGGUUGACCCAGGGGUGUAGCUCAGUGGUGGAGUGCUUGUGAAGGCUGGGUUCAAGCCCCAGCUCCCCUCCAAAAAAGAAAAAAA